CUACCUCCCAUGGUGGCUCUGUUAUUAACGUUUUCAAUUUGGUUUGUUUUCUCCCAGGGAACGGGAAAUCGUAACUGGAACGUAAUUAGAUUCCAGUUGACGACAAGGUGAAGCAGAGGGAGGAAUGUGACUCAGAAUGGAACAAGGAAAAACUGGAUACAAAUUCUCAAAAGAAAUGGCUGCAGUACUGGUUCAGUUUCAAGUCUUUGUUGGUGACUGAUCCAUUUGUGUAUCAUUAUGGCAAGAAUAUUAUUAAACCUCACUUCACUGUGGAAAUAUCAGUGAUACAGGAAUGUCUGAAGCGAUAGUUUGAAAACCCGAAUGAAGAGGACUACAAACUGGAUGAUGUUGGUAUGACGGUGGGAUCAAUAUGCAAGGCAAAUGUAGGGCUCACUCACUAUCUGAUGAAAUGAAAAGUUGAUGACAAGGUAAACCAGAGGAAGAAAUGUGACCCAAAAUGGAACAAGGAAAAAUGGAUUACAAAUUCUCAACACGGAGAAGGGAUUGUAACAUCAGUGCAAUACAAAUGGCAGCAGUACUGGUCCAGUUCCAAGUCUGUUGGUGACUGAUCCUUCUGUGU